ensembl:snRNA U6 U6 spliceosomal RNA
GUGCUCGCUUCGGCAGCACAUAUACUAACAUUGGAAUGAUACAGAGAAGAUUAGCAUGGCCCCUGCGCAAGGAUGAUACAUAAAUUUGUGAAGCGUUUCAUAUUAAA